CCUGGUGUCUAUGGCGAUGUGGCUCCACCCUGACCCUUCCCGAACUCAGGUGUGAAACGCAUCUGCGGCAAAGAUAGUUGGACGGCUGCGUCCCGCAAAAAUAGCUCGAUGCCAGGA
rfam:Oscillatoriales cyanobacterium JSC-12 chromosome, whole genome shotgun sequence.